rnacentral:rRNA from 1 species
CCUACGGGUGGCAGCAGUCGAGAAUUUUUCUCAAUGGGGGAAACCCUGAAGGAGCGACGCCGCGUGGAGGAUGAAGGUCUUCGGAUUGUAAACUCCUGUCAUUGGUGAACAAGGCCCUCGGAGUCACUGCCGUUGGGUUUGAUAGUAGCCGAAGAGGAAGGGACGGCUAACUCUGUGCCAGCAGCCGCGGUAAUACAGAGGUCCCAAGCGUUGUUCGGAUUCAUUGGGCGUAAAGGGUGCGUAGGCGGCGAGGCAAGUCUGGUGUGAAAUCCCGGGGCUCAACCCCGGAACUGCACUGGAUACUGCUUUGCUAGAGCACUGGAGAGGGAACUGGAAUUUACGGUGUAGCAGUGAAAUGCGUAGAUAUCGUAAGGAAGACCAGCGGCGAAGGCGAGUUCCUGGACAGUUGCUGACGCUGAGGCACGAAGGCCAGGGGAGCA